rnacentral:sRNA from 1 species
UCAAGUCUAGAAGAAAAGCCGAGCACCAGAAAGUAAUACAUCCAAUCAUCCGUAAAUGCAUCAGCUAAGCAACAGUAUUUUUGCUCAACAAUUGGACAGAAAACACAAGGAAUAAUACAGUAGAAGCCGUGAUUAUUGGUUGCAUUUUUGGAGGGAGAACACAGCGAGCUUAAGCCAACAACGUAGUGCGAACAGUGCAACAGAAAACCACCUAAUUUUGAUCUAGAGAACUAUAAACCACAAGCAGAGUAGCCAAAACCCCCACAUAUGUAGUGCAAGUGUCGAUCAUCUAUGAUUGAUACCUAAAUAUAGAGAGAUAGAGAGUUAUAUUUACAAACAAACACCACCUAGACGACAGGUGACCCCCCAAAAAGACAAGCCAGAAACAGGAACAGACACUGCUGAGGCACUGACCGCGCUACACGGUCACAUCCAGAUACAUCUUCAUCUGCACGGAGCCACUAAAGCCAGCAAAAUAGAUACCAUGGAGGACAAUAACACGAGCAGCAGUGCGGGCGGUGCGUCCAUCAAACAGGAGGAUCCAUCUGUGACACUCACAAUAAGGCUGAUUAUGCAAGGGAAGGAAGUUGGUAGUAUUAUUGGUAAAAAGGGUGAAAUUGUGCACAGAUUUCGUGAAGAG